rnacentral:misc_RNA from 1 species
GCAGUGCACAUACCUAAAACGUUGCCUCGGCGGGAACAGACGGCCCCGUAACACGGGCCGCCCCCGCCAGAGGACCCCCUAACUCUGUUUCUAUAAUGUUUCUUCUGAGUAAACAAGCAAAUAAAUUAAAAUUUCAACAAGCAUCUCUUGGCUCUGGCAUCGAUGAAGAACGCAGCGAAAUGCGAUAAGUAAUGUGAAUUGCAGAAUUCAGUGAAUCAUCGAAUUUUCUUUGAACGCACAUUGCGCCCGCCAGUAUUCUGGCGGGCAUGCCUGUUCGAGCGUCAUUACAACCCUCAGGCCCGCGGGCCUGGCGUUGGGGAUCGGCGGAAGCCCCCAGCGGGCGACAACGCCGUCCCCCAAAUACAGUGGCGGUCCCGCCGCAGCUUCCAUUGACGUAGUAGCUAACACCUCGCAACUUGGAGAGCGGCGCGGCCAACGCCGUAAACACCCAACUUUGAAUGUUGACCUCGAAUCAGGUAGGAAUACCCGCUGUAACUAAGCAUAUCAAUAAGCGAAGAG